GACGAACGCUGGCGGCGUGCUUAACACAUGCAAGUCGAACGGAAAGGCCCUGCUUUUGUGGGGUGCUCGAGUGGCGAACGGGUGAGGAACACGUGAGUAACCUGCCCUUGACUUCGGGAUAACUUCAGGAAACUGGGGCUAAUACCGGAUAGGAGCUCCUGCUGCAUGGUGGGGGUUGGAAAGUUUCGGCGGUUGGGGAUGGACUCGCGGCUUAUCAGCUUGUUGGUGGGGUAGUGGCUUACCAAGGCAUUGACGGGUAGCCGGCCUGAGAGGGUGACCGGCCACAUUGGGACUGAGGUACGGCCCAGACUCCUACGGUAGGCAGCAGUGGGGAAUAUUGUACAAUGGGCGGAAGCCUGAUGCAGCAACGCCGCGUGCGGGAUGACGGCCUGCGGGUUGUGAACCGCUUUCGCCUGUGACGAAGCGUGAGUGACGGUAAUGGGUAAAGAAGCACCGGCUAACUACGUG
rnacentral:rRNA from 1 species